UGUGAAGAAGGAUGUAUUUGCUUCUCCUUCUGCCAUGAUCCUAGGAUUUAGAACCUGGACCUGGACGCCUCACUGCUUCCUGCUUCCUUAGUGCCUUGUGGCCUGGAGUCAGAAUAAUCUAGCUCAAACUUGGGAGUCAAAUGCUCCAGGGUCUUGAACUGGUCAGAGCUCUCAAUGCCGCAAAGACACUUUCAGAAGAGGAACGAAGGCCUGGAAGGAAAAGCAUCAGGGGAACGACGCUUACGUCUCUCCUCCUCCCUCCGGUCUCCCACCAGUGCUCCCAUUGGCUGAAGCCAACCAGAAGCCACAGGACUCUAUCACCCAGGCUGGAGUGCAGCAGCGCGAUCUCGGCUCACUGCAACGUCCGCCUCCUGGGUUCAAGUGAUUCUCCUGCCUCAGCCUCCUGAGUAGCUAGGAUUACAGGAAUCCUGAGGUCAGCAUCAUCCCAAUUUCACAGAGUAUGACAUGACGUCUCAGAGAGGGUAAGCAGCUUGCCAAACAUUCCACAGCCAGGAAGCUGUAGGACCAGCCUGUGCUCCUAAGGACUGGCUCCUGGCUGCUAUAUAUAGAACUAAGCCUGGUGGAGGUGUCAGAAAUAGAGGUUCACUUCUGUCAUCACCGACCUCCCUCCACACCUUUGCAAAGGAGGAAACUGAGAGGCAGGGAUUUCCGCAGAGCAAGGAACCCAAAUUGCUGCCUCCUGUGAUUUAUACACUGCACCCCAAGCUGUAGGGGUAACCCAAGGACAAAGCUGUAACCCAAGCGGGAACAUAUGCCCCAUCUGGGGCCACCAAAAUCUUACCAGCUUCCUCAGCUGGUGGAUCGGUUAAUUCACGGCCACAGCCCCCUGGAGCUGGGGGAAAGGAAAACCAGGGCGUCUCCGCAAACCAGCCCAGAGAGAGGUCUGCGGAAGGGCCCGGAAGCCUGCAGGCCCCUCUGCACCCCCAACCCCACCGCCAUCCUGGACCUCCAAGAUGACCUGGUCCAACAGAGUCCUGCAUGGAAAAGACUGGAACCCAGGGAGGAGCAGAGCCCCGCCCAAGGUCACCGGCCGAGCCUGAAUAGAACCCGGUUCUCCAGGAGCCCUGUCUUUAGCUGUCUUGUCCAAAUAAAAUUUUUCAGGCCAUC
rnacentral:lncRNA from 1 species